UCCCUGGAGGAGUAGCGGUUAGGCCACAGCACUCUCACUGCUGUGGUCCAGGUUCGAUUCCUGGCCAGGGCU